GAUGAACGCUGGCGGCGUGCCUAAUACAUGCAAGUCGGGCGAAUGAAGAGGAGCUUGCUCCUCUGAUUUCGCGGCGGACGGGUGAGUAACACGUGGGUAAUCUGCCUGUCAGACGGGGAUAACUCCGGGAAACCGGGGCUAAUACCGGAUAACAAAAGAAGAACAAUUUCUUCUUUUUGAAAGUUCGUUUCCGCUGACACUUACACAUGCACAUGCGGCGCAUUGGCUAGUUGGUGAGGUAACGGCUCACCAAGGCGACGAUGCGUAGCCGACCUGAGAGGGUGACCGGCCACACUGGGACUGAGACACGGCCCAGACUCCUACGGGAGGCAGCAGUAGGGAAUCUUCGGCAAUGGGCGAAGGCCUGACCGAGCAACGCCGCGUGAGCGAUGAAGGCCUUCAGGUCGUAAAGCUCUGUUGUUAGGGAAGAACACGUACGAGAGUAACUGCUCGUACCUUGACGGUACCUAACCAGAAAGCCACGGCUAACUACGUGCCAGCAGCCGCCGCAG
rnacentral:rRNA from 1 species